rnacentral:rRNA from 1 species
GACGAACGCUGGCGGCGUGCCUAAUACAUGCAAGUAGAACGCACAGUUUAUACCGUAGCUUGCUACACCAUAGACUGUGAGUUGCGAACGGGUGAGUAACGCGUAGGUAACCUGCCUGGUAGCGGGGGAUAACUAUUGGAAACGAUAGCUAAUACCGCAUAAUAUUAAUUAUUGCAUGAUAAUUAAUUGAAAGGUGCAAUUGCACCACUACCAGAUGGACCUGCGUUGUAUUAGCUAGUAGGUGAGGUAACGGCUCACCUAGGCGACGAUACAUAGCCGACCUGAGAGGGUGAUCGGCCAAACUGGGACUGAGACACGGCCCAGACUCCUACGGGAGGCAGCAGUAGGGAAUCUUCGGCAAUGGACGAAAGUCUGACCGAGCAACGCCGCGUGAGUGAAGAAGGUUUUCGGAUCGUAAAGCUCUGUUGUAAGAGAAGAACGGGUGUGAGAGCGGAAAGUUCACACUGUGACGGUAUCUUACCAGAAAGGGACGGCUAACUACGUG